rnacentral:rRNA from 1 species
CCUACGGGAGGCAGCAGUGAGGAAUAGUGGUCAAUGGGCGCGAGCCUGAACCAGCCAAGUCGCGUGAGGGAAGACGGUCCUAUGGAUUGUAAACCUCUUUUGUCGGGGAGCAAAAGACGCCACGCGUGGCGUUCCGAGAGUACCCGAAGAAAAAGCAUCGGCUAACUCCGUGCCAGCAGCCGCGGUAAUACGGAGGAUGCGAGCGUUAUCCGGAUUUAUUGGGUUUAAAGGGUGCGCAGGCGGAAGAUCAAGUCAGCGGUAAAAUUGAGAGGCUCAACCUCUUCGAGCCGUUGAAACUGGUGUUCUUGAGUGAGUGAGAAGUAUGCGGAAUGCGUGGUGUAGCGGUGAAAUGCAUAGAUAUCACGCAGAACUCCGAUUGCGAAGGCAGCAUACCGGCGCUCAAUUGACGCUCAUGCACGAAAGUGUGGGUAUCGAACAGGAUUAGAGACCCCGGUAGUC